rnacentral:piRNA from 1 species
CACCUACACUCCUAGGAUAGAACAUGGGACC